rnacentral:rRNA from 1 species
UACAGAGGGUGCGAGCGUUAAUCGGAAUUACUGGGCGUAAAGCGCGCGUAGGCGGCUUUUCAAGUCGAUUGUGAAAUCCCCGGGCUUAACCUGGGAACUGCAGUCGAGACUGUCUAGCUAGAGUAUGGGAGAGGGAAGUGGAAUUUCAGGUGUAGCGGUGAAAUGCGCAGAUAUCAGGAGGAACACCAACGGCGAAGGCAGCUCGCUGGGACGGUACUGACGCUGAGACGCGAAAGCGUGGGGAGCAAACAGG